UACGGAGGGUGCGAGUGCUCCUCGGAUUUACUGGUCGUAAAGAGUGCGUAUGCGGAUGAUUAAGACGCAUGUGAAAUCCCUGAACUUAAAUUACGAAUUGCUUUCUAUACUGGGCUGGUACAGUAUGGGAGAGUAUGCUAUAAUUCCAGGUGUAGCGGAGAAGUGCGUACAGAUCUGGAGGAAUACCGAUGACUAAAGCAGCCCUCUGGCCUACUACUGACGCUGAGGGACGAACGCCUGUGAAGCACACAGGAUUACAUACCCUGGCAGACCAUGCCGUAAGCGAUGUCUACUAGCCGUUGGCCCCCUUUGAGGCUUCAGUGGCGCGACUAACGCGAGAAGUACACCGCGCUGGAGAGCACGGACGCAAGACUAAAUCUCAAAUGAAUUGACGGCGUGCCGCGCAAGCGGUGGAGCAUGUGGUUUAAUUCGAUGCAACCCGAAGAACCUUCCCUGGCCUUGACAUACUAGAAACCUUCCAGAGAUGGACCGGUGCCUUCGGGAAUCCAGAUACAGGUGCUGCAUGGCUGUCGUCAGCUCGCGUCGUGAGAUGGUGGCAUAAGUCACGCAACGAGCGCAACCCUUUUCCUUACUCACCAGCAUUUCGGAUGGGAACUUUAAGGAUACUCCCAGUGACAAACCGGAGGAAGGCGGGGAGGACGUCAAGUCAUCAUGGACCUUACGACCAGGGCUACCCACGCGCUACAACUGGUCGGUACAAUAGGGUUGCUACCCUAGCGCAUAUGGAUGACUACAUCUCACAAAAUGCCAGAUCGUCAGGUCCUGGAUUGGAGUGCUGCACACUAUGACUCCAAGAAGUCGGAAUCCGUAGUAAUCGCGGAUCAGAAUUCCGCGGAGAAUACGCUCCCGGGCCA
rnacentral:rRNA from 1 species